AACCUCCGCAAUGUGAGAAAUCGCGACGGGGGGAUCCCAAGUGCCAUUCUUAACGGGAUGGCUUUUCAUUAGUGUAAAGAGCUUUUGGAAUAAGGGCUGGGCAAGACCGGUGCCAGCCGCCGCGGUAACACCGGCAGCUCUAGUGGUAGCAGUUUUUAUUGGGCCUAAAGCGUCCGUAGCCGGUUUAAUAAGUCUCUGGUGAAAUCCUGUAGCUUAACUGUGGGAAUAGCUGGAGAUACUAUUAGACUUGAGACCGGGAGAGGUUAGAGGUACUCCCAGGGUAGAGGUGAAAUUCUGUAAUCCUGGGAGGACCGCCUGUUGCGAAGGCGUCUAACUGGAACGGUUCUGACGGUGAGGGACGAAAGUUAGGGGCGCGGAACCGGAUUAGAUACCCGGGUAGUCCUAACUGUAAACGAUGCGGACUUGGUGUUGGGGUGGCUUUGAGCUGCUUCAGUGCCGAAGGGAAGCUGUUAAGUCCGCCGCCUGGGAAGUACGGUCGCAAGACUGAAACUUAAAGGAAUU
rnacentral:rRNA from 1 species